rnacentral:rRNA from 1 species
AUACGUAGGGGGCGAGCGUUAUCCGGAAUUAUUGGGCGUAAAGAGUACGUAGGUGGUUUCCUAAGCGAGGGGUUUAAGGCACUGGCUUAACCAAUGUUCGCCCCCCGAACUGGGGAACUUGAGUGCUGGAGAGGAAAGCGGAAUUCCUAGUGUAGCGGUGAAAUGCGUAGAUAUUAGGAGGAACACCAGUGGCGAAGGCGGCUUUCUGGACAGUAACUGACACUGAGGUACGAAAGUGUGGGGAGCAAACAGGAUUAGAUACCCUGGUAGUCCACACCGUAAACGAUGAGCACUAGGUGUCGGGCUCGCAAGAGUUCGGUGCCGCAGUUAACGCAUUAAGUGCUCCGCCUGGGGAGUACGUACGCAAGUAUGAAACUCAAAGGAAUUGGCGGGG